UUUAAAUAUAAUAAAAGUCAUACCUAGGGGACACAUGUCCCCCAUCUAGAGCCUCUAAAACUCCUUUUCCAACCAUUUUCUAAUCCUCUUAUUUCCCUGAUGUGAAACCCGACUCGGGAUCCAUAUUAUCUAUCCGGGUCCUUUUUUUUCGUUCCAUAUAUAAAGCAACUAUCCAAUCAGUUUUUCCAUCUAUUCUUCUUCUCUCAUACGCUUUGGGAUUAUUAGGGUUUUUUUUCCUUUGUAUCCUUAUUUUACAGGAGCCAUUAUCUGAAUAAUUGAAGAUCUAAGGUUCUUAUUCGAAAAUCCACGCAAGCAUUAUACUGAUUAUUCGAACAAUCAUGGUAUGUAUUUUAGUCCUCUGUUACGCGUCUUUGAAUCGUUGUUUUGGCGUCGAUUUGGUUAUCAACAUCUCAGAUCUACAGUCUCUUGACGGCGUGUACGGUAUGGAAGGUUGGUGGUUGAAAUGUGUGUGGAGACGAAGCACUCAAAAAAGGUGAAAACCACGGCUACUGAAGGGGAAAACAAAAGUCACUGUUUGAUGUAUGCAACGCCUGGCUUGGGACCACGAAGUAUUAUCGUGCAUGGCUGAGAAGCAUGUGUGGCUGAUUUGGUGGGUAUGCAUAUAUUUUUAAAUGCUCAAAAAAGAGAAAAAGGCUUUUCAAGUCAUCAUUCUUAUGGGUUUGUGGUGUAUUUGGAAGUUGCGAAACAAUGUGGUUUUUAAUCAUAAUCCGGUUAUGAUGGCUAGAGUUGUUGAAGAGACCAACGCGUUGAGGUACUUAUGGGUUAAAGGUAUAUCAAAACGAGGCAUGGAUAGUUUUUGAUUUUUUUAAUCUUUUUGUUUUGUUUUGUUUUGUUUCUGUUUGGAGUUGUUUCGACGCAUGUUUUCGA